rnacentral:rRNA from 1 species
UACGUAGGCAGCAAGCGUUGUUCGGAAUCACUGGGCGUAAAGCGCACGCAGGCGGAGCGAUAAGUCGGGGGUGAAAGCCCGGGGCUCAACCUCGGAAUUGCCUUCGAUACUGUCGGUCUCGAGUCCGGGAGAGGUGAGUGGAAUUCCUAGUGUAGAGGUGAAAUUCGUAGAUAUUAGGAAGAACACCAGUGGCGAAGGCGGCUCACUGGCCCGGUACUGACGCUCAGGUGCGAAAGCGUGGGGAGCAAACAGG